rnacentral:rRNA from 1 species
AUUGAACGCUGGCGGCAUGCCUUACACAUGCAAGUCGAACGGCAGCGCGGACUUCGGUCUGGAGGCGAGUGGCGCACGGGUGAGUAAUACAUCGGAACGUACCCUGUUGUGGGGGAUAACUAGUCGAAAGAUUAGCUAAUACCGCAUACGACCUGAGGGUGAAAGUGGGGGAUCGCAAGGCCUCACGCAGCAGGAGCGGCCGAUGUCUGAUUAGCUAGUUGGUGGGGUAAAGGCCCACCAAGGCGACUAUCAGUAGCUGGGCUGGAAGGACGAUCGGCCACACUGGGACUGGAACACCGCCCAGGCUCCUACGGGAGGGCGCAGUUGGGAAUUUUGGACAAAGGGGGCAACCCUGAUCCAGCAAUGCCGCGGGUGUGGAGGAAGCCUUCGGGUUGUAAAGCACUUUUGUCCGGAAAGAAAUCGCGCUGGUUAAUACCUGGCGUGGAUGACGGUACCGGAAGAAUAAGCACCGGCUAACUACGUG